AACCUAUUGCUUUGCAGUUUUCCCUGUUGAAAAACUGGAGCCGCCAACUGAGGCAGCAGACGCUGCUGUCUGAGGAUGAGGAGUAUACCACGGGGUCAGAGGUCACUGAGGAUGAGGUGGGGGAUGAAGAGGAGGCCAGCAAGAAACAAGGUAGAGUAAUUAGGCUCUCUAUUUGGUUUAUACUCUAAUUGGAAAAACUGUAUGGCUGAGAGGGAUGAGGCAAAGGAAAUAGCAAAUACGUCUGACAACACAGCAGAUUGGUAAACAUAGAAAUCACAUAACUAAACAAAAAGAAGAAACUAUACCAUGAAAAAACCUCAAGUGCAUUUAAUGAAAUUCUAGGCAAAAAAAAGUUAACUCAUCUGUCAUUGAGGCAGAUGACUUGUUCAUAACAAAACCUUUUAAUAUUACCAAACACUUUAAUCACUUUGUUGUUGACGAGAUUUAGCAAACUUAGGUAUGACUUGCAAAUAACAAAUGCUGAGCCUUCAUAUUCAUGCUAGUGGUUAGAGUGUAGGGACGGUAGGUUAGCCUAGUGGUUAGAUUGUAGGGACGGCAGGUUAGCCUAGUGGUUAGAGUGUAGGGACGGCAGGUUAGCCUAGUGGUUAGAGUGUAGGGACGGCAGGUUAGCCUAGUGGUUAGAGUGUAGGGGCGGCAGGUUAGCCUAGUGGUUAGAGUGUAGGGACGGCAGGUUAGCCUAGUGGUUAGAGUGUAGGGACGGCAGGUUAGCCUAGUG